rnacentral:rRNA from 1 species
AAUGGGGGCAACCCUGAUCCAGCCAUUCCGCGUGAGUGAAGAAGGCCUUCGGGUUGUAAAGCUCUUUCGGCCGGGAAGAAAUCGCAUCUCCUAAUACGGGGUGUGGAUGACGGUACCGGAAGAAGAAGCACCGGCUAACUACGUGCCAGCAGCCGCGGUAAUACGUAGGGUGCGAGCGUUAAUCGGAAUUACUGGGCGUAAAGCGUGCGCAGGCGGCUCACUAAGACAGAUGUGAAAUCCCCGGGCUUAACCUGGGAACUGCGUUUGUGACUGGUGGGCUUGAGUGCGGCAGAGGGGGGUGGAAUUCCACGUGUAGCAGUGAAAUGCGUAGAGAUGUGGAGGAACACCGAUGGCGAAGGCAGCCCCCUGGGUCGACACUGACGCUCAUGCACGAAAGCGUGGGGAGCAAA